rnacentral:rRNA from 1 species
UUAAGCGACUAAGCGUACACGGUGGAUGCCCUGGCAGUCAGAGGCGAUGAAGGACGUGCUAAUCUGCGAUAAGCGUCGGUAAGGUGAUAUGAACCGUUAUAACCGGCGAUUUCCGAAUGGGGAAACCCAGUGUGUUUCGUCACACUAUCAUUAACUGAAUCCAUAGGUUAAUGAGGCGAACCGGGGGAACUGAAACAUCUAAGUACCCCGAGGAAAAGAAAUCAACCGAGAUUCCCCCAGUAGCGGCGAGCGAACGGGGAGCAGCCCAGAGUCUGAAUCAGCUUGUGUGUUAGUGGAACGGUCUGGAAAGUCCGACGGUACAGGGUGAUAGUCCCGUACACCAAAAUGCACAGGCUGUGAACUCGAAGAGUAGGGCGGGACACGUGGUAUCCUGUCUGAAUAUGGGGGGACCAUCCUCCAAGGCUAAAUACUCCUGACUGACCGAUAGUGAACCAGUACCGUGAGGGAAAGGCGAAAAGAACCCCGGCGAGGGGAGUGAAAAAGAACCUGAAACCGUGUACGUACAAGCAGUGGGAGCACAGAGCAAUCUGUGUGACUGCGUACCUUUUGUAUAAUGGGUCAGCGACUUAUAUUCUGUAGCAAGGUUAACCGAAUAGGGGAGCCGAAGGGAAACCGAGUCUUAACUGGGCGUUAAGUUGCAGGGUAUAGACCCGAAACCCGGUGAUCUAGCCAUGGGCAGGUUGAAGGUUGGGUAACACUAACUGGAGGACCGAACCGACUAAUGUUGAAAAAUUAGCGGAUGACUUGUGGCUGGGGGUGAAAGGCCAAUCAAACCGGGAGAUAGCUGGUUCUCCCCGAAAGCUAUUUAGGUAGCGCCUCGUGAAUUCAUCUCCGGGGGUAGAGCACUGUUUCGGCAAGGGGGUCAUCCCGACUUACCAACCCGAUGCAAACUGCGAAUACCGGAGAAUGUUAUCACGGGAGACACACGGCGGGUGCUAACGUCCGUCGUGAAGAGGGAAACAACCCAGACCGCCAGCUAAGGUCCCAAAGUCAUGGUUAAGUGGGAAACGAUGUGGGAAGGCCCAGACAGCCAGGAUGUUGGCUUAGAAGCAGCCAUCAUUUAAAGAAAGCGUAAUAGCUCACUGGUCGAGUCGGCCUGCGCGGAAGAUGUAACGGGGCUAAACCAUGCACCGAAGCUGCGGCAGCGACACUAUGUGUUGUUGGGUAGGGGAGCGUUCUGUAAGCCUGCGAAGGUGUGCUGUGAGGCAUGCUGGAGGUAUCAGAAGUGCGAAUGCUGACAUAAGUAACGAUAAAGCGGGUGAAAAGCCCGCUCGCCGGAAGACCAAGGGUUCCUGUCCAACGUUAAUCGGGGCAGGGUGAGUCGACCCCUAAGGCGAGGCCGAAAGGCGUAGUCGAUGGGAAACAGGUUAAUAUUCCUGUACUUGGUGUUACUGCGAAGGGGGGACGGAGAAGGCUAUGUUAGCCGGGCGACGGUUGUCCCGGUUUAAGCAUGUAGGCGGAGGUUCCAGGUAAAUCCGGUACCUUUUUAACGCUGAGGUGUGAUGACGAGGCACUACGGUGCUGAAGUAACAAAUGCCCUGCUUCCAGGAAAAGCCUCUAAGCAUCAGGUAACAUCAAAUCGUACCCCAAACCGACACAGGUGGUCAGGUAGAGAAUACCAAGGCGCUUGAGAGAACUCGGGUGAAGGAACUAGGCAAAAUGGUGCCGUAACUUCGGGAGAAGGCACGCUGAUAUGUAGGUGAAGCGACUUGCUCGUGGAGCUGAAAUCAGUCGAAGAUACCAGCUGGCUGCAACUGUUUAUUAAAAACACAGCACUGUGCAAACACGAAAGUGGACGUAUACGGUGUGACGCCUGCCCGGUGCCGGAAGGUUAAUUGAUGGGGUUAGCGCAAGCGAAGCUCUUGAUCGAAGCCCCGGUAAACGGCGGCCGUAACUAUAACGGUCCUAAGGUAGCGAAAUUCCUUGUCGGGUAAGUUCCGACCUGCACGAAUGG